GCCCGUUCACCCUCGUCUCCAAGGAACGUAUCCCGUUCUGGGAGCUCCCCAUGAAUUUCUGAUGAGAAAAAAGUAAUUAAAGGGUCAGAUGCAAGGAAACACUAUCGAUGUUCCUGACAACCACAGUAUGUGUGACACAUGAAGAUAUGCUUAAAAGUUGGUAAUUGAAAAUCGCCCUAUUGUUAUAGGGUGAUUGGUUUGAGGAAUGAGUUGAUUUAUCAUCUUCUUACUCUCAUUUUUUUGUUUGGUCUAUAGAAUGUAAUGAGUUAAUCCAUCACCACCUCAUUCCUUAUAGUUAGUUAGUACUAAUAUUAGGAAUAGGGUCAUCCUACCAAAUUUGAGGAAUGAACCCAUGAUACACCACCUCAUUUUAGAUAAAGUGAUUACUCAAACCAAACACCAUGUUAAUGAAUGCUGUGAUGCAGUCAAGGUUUCCCCCACACCAUGCCACUGAUCAGGCCUGAAUGCAAACUGAUUUGAGCACUGCUUGGAGGACACAUUGAAUGAAUGCAUAAUUCAUACCAAACGGUCAGUGCUGCUCACUGCGACCAAAUAAUAAGCUCCUAUUAAAUAUGCUGGUACAAGAACAGGAUGAGACCUCCGACCUGCACAAAUCUGUCCACAUUGUACCAAAAAAGAAAAGGAAAAAGGACUCCAGUAGGUGCUGGUAGGUCCUGGUUCUUUUACUGUUUUACAUAGGGAAUGAGUGAGCUUGCACCAAAGUUUGCUUCGUGUAAAAUUUUACCAAGCAACAAGGUUUUAUCUUUUAUUCGUUA